rnacentral:rRNA from 1 species
AGAGUUUGAUCAUGGCUCAGGAUGAACGCUAGCGGCAGGCCUAAUACAUGCAAGUCGAGGGGUAACAUGAGAGCUUGCUCUUGAUGACGACCGGCGGACGGGUGCGUAACGCGUAUGCAACCUACCCACAACAGGGGGAUAGCCCGGAGAAAUUCGGAUUAAUACCCCCAUAAUGCAGGGGUACCGCCUGGUACUAUUUGCUAAAGAUUUAUCGGUUGUGGAUGGGCAUGCGUCUGAUUAGUUAGUUGGUGAGGUAACGGCUCACCAAGACCACGAUCAGUAGGGGGUCUGAGAGGAUGAUCCCCCACACUGGCACUGAGAUACGGGCCAGACUCCUACGGGAGGCAGCAGUAGGGAAUAUUGGGCAAUGGGCGAGAGCCUGACCCAGCCAUGCCGCGUGAAGGAUGAAGGCCUUCUGGGUUGUAAACUUCUUUUAUACAGGAAGAAAAAGGUCAUGCGUGACCAAUUGACGGUACUGUAUGAAUAAGCACCGGCUAACUCCGUGCCAGCAGCCGCGGUAAUACGGAGGGUGCAAGCGUUGUCCGGAUUUAUUGGGUUUAAAGGGUGCGUAGGCGGUACGCUAAGUCAGUGGUGAAAUCCCGCAGCUCAACUGCGGAACUGCCAUUGAUACUGGCGUACUUGAGUACAGACGAGGUAGGCGGAAUUUAUGGUGUAGCGGUGAAAUGCAUAGAUACCAUAAAGAACACCGAUAGCGAAGGCAGCUUACUAGACUGUAACUGACGCUGAGGCACGAAAGCGUGGGGAGCGAACAGGAUUAGAUACCCUAGUAGUCC